GAUGAACGCUGGCGGCGUGCUUAACACAUGCAAGUCGAACGAUGAAGCCCAGCUUGCUGGGUGGAUUAGUGGCGAACGGGUGAGUAACACGUGAGCAACCUGCCCCUGACUCUGGGAUAAGCGCUGGAAACGGCGUCUAAUACUGGAUAUGUCCCGUCACCGCAUGGUGUGCGGGUGGAAAGAUUUUUCGGUUGGGGAUGGGCUCGCGGCCUAUCAGCUUGUUGGUGGGGUAAUGGCUCACCAAGGCGUCGACGGGUAGCCGGCCUGAGAGGGUGACCGGCCACACUGGGACUGAGACACGGCCCAGACUCCUACGGGAGGCAGCAGUGGGGAAUAUUGCACAAUGGGCGGAAGCCUGAUGCAGCAACGCCGCGUGAGGGAUGACGGCCUUCGGGUUGUAAACCUCUUUUAGCAGGGAAGAAGCGAAAGUGACGGUACCUGCAGAAAAAGCACCGGCUAACUACGUG
rnacentral:rRNA from 1 species